AACGAACGCUGGCGGCAGGCUUAACACAUGCAAGUCGAGCGCCCCGCAAGGGGAGCGGCAGACGGGUGAGUAACGCGUGGGAAUCUACCCAUCUCUACGGAAUAACGCAUGGAAACGUGUGCUAAUACCGUAUACGUCCUUCGGGAGAAAGAUUUAUCGGAGAUGGAUGAGCCCGCGUUGGAUUGGCUAGUUGGUGGGGGAAAGGCCUACCAAGGCGACGAUCCAUAGCUGGUCUGAGAGGAUGAUCAGCCACACUGGGACUGAGACACGGCCCAGACUCCUACGGGAGGCAGCAGUGGGGAAUAUUGGACAAUGGGCGCAAGCCUGAUCCAGCCAUGCCGCGUGAGUGAUGAAGGCCCUAGGGUUGUAAAGCUCUUUCACCGGUGAAGAUAAUGACGGUAACCGGAGAAGAAGCCCCGGCUAACUUCGUGCCAGCAGCCGCAGUAAUAC
rnacentral:rRNA from 1 species